rnacentral:antisense_RNA from 1 species
GGGCGCUUAAGACUUUCUGUCUUAAGUAUGCUGUUGCUGACGGCGGAAACGAAAGAGCCUCAGGAGAUCAUCCAUCGACCUGAGGCUGCACUUAUGUCUAGACAAGAUAAAAGGUAGCUUCCCGCAUGCCGCAAGGCAAGGAGGUUCAGGGAAA